rnacentral:rRNA from 1 species
UACGGAGGGUGCGAGCGUUGUCCGGAAUCACUGGGCGUAAAGGGCGCGUAGGCGGCCUGAUAAGUAGGGGGUGAAAUCCUGCGGCUUAACCGCAGGGCUGCCUUCUAAACUGUCAGGCUAGAGCACAGUAGAGGCAGGUGGAAUUCCCGGUGUAGCGGUGGAAUGCGUAGAGAUCGGGAAGAACAUCAGCGGCGAAGGCGGCGCUCUGGGCUGGAACUGACGCUGAGGAGCGAAAGCGUGGGGAGCGAACAGG